UGAGUCGGCCGGGUGAACGCGGCGAUUGAACCACCCCGCCAGCCGGGGUAGGCGAAAGUCGAGGAAAGUCCGGACUCCACAGAGCACGGUGAUUGCUAACGGCAACCCGGGGCGACCUGCGGGCAAGUGCAACAGAAAGUAAACCGCCGCGUCUUUGGCGCGGUAAGGGUGAAACGGUGCGGUAAGAGCGCACCAGCGUCCUAAGUGAUUAGGGCGGCUGGGUAAACCCCACUGGGAGCAAGGCAUCAUGGCCCGUUAAUGGCGGGCUUGAUCAGGUGUUUGAGAGCUGCUCGCUCGAACCUGAAGGUAGCUGCUUGAGGCGUGUUGGCAACGGCACGUUCAGAUGGAUGUUCACCGCCGCGCGGUUUUGCGCGUGGUACAGAAUCCGGCUUAUAGGCUGACUCAUUCG
rfam:Corynebacterium casei LMG S-19264, complete genome.